rnacentral:rRNA from 1 species
UACGUAGGGGGCAAGCGUUAUCCGGAUUUACUGGGUGUAAAGGGAGCGUAGGCGGCUUAGUAAGUCAGAAGUGAAAGCCCGCAGCUCAACUGCGGGACUGCUUUUGAAACUGCCAAGCUAGAGUGUCGGAGAGGUAAGUGGAAUUCCUAGUGUAGCGGUGAAAUGCGUAGAUAUUAGGAGGAACACCAGUGGCGAAGGCGGGUUACUGGACGACAACUGACGGUGAGGCGCGAAAGUGCGGGGAUCGAACAGG